rnacentral:rRNA from 1 species
CCUACGGGAGGCUGCAGUGGGGAAUAUUGCACAAUGGGCGCAAGCCUGAUGCAGCCAUGCCGCGUGUGUGAAGAAGGCCUUCGGGUUGUAAAGCACUUUCAGCGGGGAGGAAGGCGGUGAGGUUAAUAACCUCAUCGAUUGACGUUACCCGCAGAAGAAGCACCGGCUAACUCCGUGCCAGCAGCCGCGGUAAUACGGAGGGUGCAAGCGUUAAUCGGAAUUACUGGGCGUAAAGCGCACGCAGGCGGUCUGUCAAGUCGGAUGUGAAAUCCCCGGGCUCAACCUGGGAACUGCAUUCGAAACUGGCAGGCUAGAGUCUUGUAGAGGGGAGUAGAAUUCCAGGUGUAGCGGUGAAAUGCGUAGAGAUCUGGAGGAAUACCGGUGGCGAAGGCGGCCCCCUGGACAAAGACUGACGCUCAGGUGCGAAAGCGUGGGGAGCAAACAGGAUUAGAUACCCGGGUAGUC